GGGAUUUCUCAGUCUAGGGACUCUGUGGAAGCACUGAGCUGUCUCCUCAAGACAUUUAGGCCUCCCCAAAGAUACAGCCUGGAGGCUGAGGAUCAAGGUGUCAGUUCUGGGUGUGACCAAUUUCUGUUUGUCUCCAGAGUGGGCAUAGGGUAGCUUGCUUGGUCGAGAAUCAAAGUUAGAAUUUGUCACCAAGGUAGGGAAGGGGACUCCAUGAUAACUCAGGUCAGCCCAUCUUUUGCCUGUUGUGUGAGUGGCUAGGGCGUGUGACCUAUGGAUACUGGGGUAAAAGUAGGGUAAGUCUGCCCCCUGGUGCCUGGUGGAUGUACAGACCCUCCCCCCCAAGCUGAGCACCUGCCUGCUCUGCUCCUCAGGGACCUCCAGGCCUCUCCAUCAGCAGCUGAGCAGCUUCUUGGGGAUUUUCCAAGGCCAAGACUAGCCUGGGGUGGACUAGGAAGAAACUUGGGAAUAGUGCUACCUCAAGACCCAGCUAUACCACUCCUGGACAUACGAAAGUUGCUCCACCAUACGACAAGGACAUUUGCUCAACUAUGUUCAUAGCAGCCUUAUUCAUAAUAGCCAUAAUUUGGAAACAACCUAGAUGUCCCUCAGUUGAAGAAUGGAUACAGAAAUUGUGGUAUAUUUACACUAUGGAAUACUAUUCGGCUAUUAAAAACAAGGAAAUCCUGAAAUUUGCAGGCAAAUGGAUGGAACUAGAAAUGAUCAUCCUGAGUGAGUUAACCCAGACCCAGAAAGACACGCAUGGAUUCAGGAGACAAAGGCGGGUGGAUGUGAGUUCGAGGCCAGCCUGGUCUACAAAAAGAGUUCCAGGGCAGUCACGGCUACACAGAGAAACCCUGUCUUGAAAAACAAAACAAGCCAGGCAUGGUGGCGCACA